rnacentral:tRNA from 1 species
AGACAAGAAGUGAAGUUGUCACAUUAAGUUUCGGCCUUAACGCUUGGUAGGUUACCCUUGUCUU